UUUUUGUCGAAUCAGAUAAAUAACCACAUGAUACUUUUCAUAAAUUAAUCAGACGCUUAGUGGAAUAUUGGACUAAAUAAUCGUAAUAUUAUACCAGAUAGAAGAAUCAAACUUAAAAUAAAAUUAAGGAAAAAAAAUUGAAAUCAUCUCUUUUUUCCCCGGACAUUGAUUCAGCACCAAUGCUGGAUAUAAUGCAAAAGAAAAGCUCUACUGCCAAUCUCCACAGCUGGGCUUUGUGUAAGCCGAAACUCAAAAGGCAGGGAGGGAAACAAAACAAAAAUUUGACAUCCUGGGCUUUAUUUGUAGGGGUCGGAGAUGCAGCGGCGGAGAAGAGGGAGGGAGAUCCGGUAGCCAGAAGAAGAUGCAGGGAGAGAAGAGUCUUGUUCUAGGUGGUUGGGUGGAACCUGGUGGUGGUGGUUCAUGUUGGCCGGCGGAGGAGUUGGGUUUUGGGAUUUAUGGGAAGGAGGGGGAAGAACAGAGGGAGGGGAAACGAAGAAGAAGAUGUUCAUCUCAGUCGACGCCGGCGGUGGUCACUGCCAGCCAAUCGCCAUGAGCAACAUCAGGAUCGCAGCCACUCAGAGGAAAAUAAACCGGACUAAUAAUCCACUCCUUUUGGAAUGGUUUAUUAAGAAGGUGUAUACCCGACUAUCGGAUCCGACUGCAUAAAUUAAUCCGGCGACUAUUUAGUACGAGAGGACACCAAACAGCCGGGUCCGUACUAUUAGUCCUAUCCUAUCCCUUAUAGGGUGUGCCACUAAAGGAGGCGUGUGGAAGAAGACGGAGGAUGAGAUCUCAACGCGGCGGUCAUCAAGUACGAGUGGCUCGACCCCUCCAUCAAAAAGGUUUUGUGUGUAGAUUGUGGGAACCGAUUUCGAUUAGGGUUUAUAAUGUAUGGUCGUGCUCGGAUUCGUUUUGGAUGUUCAAAUAUUUGAUUUGCAAUGAGACUGAGUGGACUAGACAAGAGGAUGAGAAGCUUCUGCAUCUUGCUAAGCUCGUGCCGGAACCGUUCUUAGGAGGAGAUAAUCCAGAGAUGCACCCAUCAGAGUUUUAUGGGGUCACUACUAGAAAAAAGGAAAUUCAAACUAUGCCUACUCCUUCUGCAACUCCUGAAGUGCCGGUCUUACAACUAAUAGUGAAAAAAUGGAGCAGCAAAAAAACUUGCAGUAUGGUUUUGGCUGUUUACCACAGCCUAAGAACGAGUAUCAGAUUGUCGUACAACCAGUUCCAGAGGAUGAUGAUGAACCUGAGGAGAAGACUGAAGAAGACAUGUUUGAUAGGCUAGCUAGAGAAGGGGCCGAGGAAGAAGCACGCCAGCAAGCAUUACUUAGAAAGAGAUAAAAAGUAUUGAGAGGGAGCUCCCUAGACCUCGUGUUGCCUAAUUGGGACUCAUCAGAAAUUCCUUGAUAAAAGCAGAUGGAGAUAGGAGUUCAUUUGUUCCUCCUACUCCUAUUGAGCAGGCUGAUGAAAUGGUUAAAGUAGAACUUUUUAGCCUACUAGAGCACGAUAAUGCCAAGUAUCUGCUUACUGAGAAAGUAGACAAACGGAAAAAGGAUGGUCCCAAGCGCAGUGCCAAUGGACCUAGUACUUCUGUCCCUGUGAUAGGAGAUUUUGAUGAAGACGAACUGAAAAAUACUAGCAUGUCUAAUGACUAUAUAGUUCCAUGUUUUUACGAUCCCCGUGUUAUAUGCUGGCUCAUUCAUUGAUAAAGGAAGAUGCAGAAAUUCUUCGUGUUGCGAUGGGGCAUGAAAACGAAUCCCCUGAUGAAUUUUUUGUAGCACACAAAACUUGCCUGAAUGAUCUCAUGUACUUCCCUACUCGUGGCACCUAUGGUCUAUCAAGUGUUGCUGGAAAUAUGGAAGCUUGCAGCUUUACAGAAUGAGUUUGACAAUGUGAAGAAGAAGAUGGAUGAUGAUAUCCAGAAGGCAGCAAGCAUUGAGAACAAGGUUAAAGUCCACACAUAUGGUUAUGAGGUAUGCUUGCUGAAUCUUUUGAUUAUAGGAACGUUCCUUUUUGUCGUUGUUAGAACAAGGGCUUUGGGUGCAUCUUUUUCAAACAUGCUAUGCUGAUUUCUUGGUUUUUUAUUCCAACUUGAGCUUAUAUUCUUGGGUCCUUUUUAGAGUGAAAGUGGGGCUUUAUAUUAUUAAGUUUUAGAACCUAAAUUAAGAUAAAUUUGAGCAGCACUUUUGAAAAUUUGAGCAUUGUUCAAGAUUCAUAUGCACCUCUUGUAAUAUAAAGUUAUAUCUCUCCUAAUCUACGAGACUCGUACUUUAAACAGUUAUUCAAAGAAAUAAUGCUGGACGUUGGACUCCUUAUAUUUGACCUUUGGCAUUGAAUAAGAUUCAUCGCCAUCUGAUGUUUCACAGGCUGCAAAACAUUGACUUAUAGAGUUGCUACAUAGAAAAGGGAAAUGAUAUCCGCACACCCAUUCUCCUUGGGCACACCUUUUAUUUCUGUCCUUUGAUUCUCCUCUGAUUCAUUCAAUCAAAGGGCGGACUUUAUAAGUGAGCGCAAGAGGAGAAAAAAGUUGUGUUGCAAUCACUUCCCAAAGAGGAAUACCCUACAUUUAUCUUUGGCUAAUUUCAUCUUUUUUUUAAGGCCAACUUUAUAGAUUAUUAACUUAUUGCAGGUAAGUAGGUGUUGUUUUUGUUUGUUUUCUCUAGAUGUUUUAUUGUUUCCUGAUACAAUUCUUCAACUAUUGUUGGGUUUUUUCUAGGAUGCUUCUAGAUUUAGAAACCACUGUGGCAGAAGUAUUGACAAACCAGGAGCUGCAUGUCACUGUUUAUCAACAGGGGUAAGAACGAUUUUUCUUUUGGGUUUAGUUUCUUUUCAGUGAAUCAAAUCAACUAUAGUAUUAUUCAUCAAUUAUUGUUUCAGUGUACUUUCGCUCAACAUUAUUAUGGUAUCUGAGUACACUACGAAAACAAGUGCUGAGCAAAUUUGCAUGAUACCGUGGCAAAUUUGAAAAGAAAAAUGGAAAAGGAUGUAGGAAUAUCCAUUUCCAAGCAAGUGCUCUCCUUCAAGCAAUGACUCACAUAUUGAAAAUCUGUGAUGAUGAUACGACACAAUGGAGUUCCAACAAGAGGUUUAAACUUAUGCUCAAGGAUAGAUCCCUUGAAACCGUGACCGACACCCUCGAUGGCGUAAAGAGUGAAAUUUCAAAAAGAAUGUUGCUUCUCUCCAAUAGAAAGGAACUGCACUCGAACGCUGAUUACAAAGCUUUGUUGCUUUCGGGCAACGCGGAACUGGAGCUGGUAUUCUCUACGUCACCGACUGCCUCUGCCACCACUUAUGCCGCUUGUUUCAACUUGUAGACACGACAUGGCUUAGUAUGCAGUAGGUUUAGGAAGGCGAUACAGUGUUUGUGGUUCCAAAAGACCUACUGAAACUGAAGGUGAAGUCAAGCUUGACUAGGGGGACCGAUCACGUGCAUGAAGUGAAGGCAGUUGAGGCUGUAGGGAAGCUAAGAGAGAUGUUGCGGAGAAUCGGAGAUGAGAUGUUCCGUCUACCAUCACAACCAUAUGACUUCGAGUACAAAGGUGAACGCAUCAUGGACGAAGGGAAGCCAUUUUACUAGCAUCACAUAGUUGGCGAUGAUGAACUGAUGAUAUAUAUCGUUCCAUCUCUUCUGUGAGUGAAAUGGCCAACUAUGUGAUGCUAGUAAAUGGCUUCCCUUCGUCCAUGAUGCGUUCACCUUUGUACUUGAAGUCAUAUGGUUGUGAUGGUAGAGGAAACAUCUCAUCUUUGAUUCUCCGCAACAUCUCUCUUAGCUUCCUUACAGCCUCGGUUGCCUUCACUUGAUGCACGUGAACGGUCCUCCCAGUCAAGCUUGACUUCACCUUCAGUUUCAAUAGUUCUUUUGGAACCACAAACACCGUAUCGUCAUCCUAAACCCGCUGCAAACUAAGUCAUGUCUUAUCUACAAGCUGAAACAAGUGGCAUAAGUGGUGGCAGGGCCAGUCGGUGAUGUAGAGAAUAUCAGCUCCAGUUCCGCGUUGAUCGAAAGCAACAAAGUUUUGUAAUCAGUGUUCGAGUGUAGUUCCUUUCCAUUGGAGAGAAGCAUCAUUCUUUUUGAAAUUUCACUCUUUACGCCGUCGAGGGUGUCGGUCACGGUUUCAAGGGAUCUAUCCUUGAGCAUAAGUUUAAACCUCUUGUUGGAACUCCAUUGUGCCGUAUCAUCAUCACAGAUUUUCAAUAUGUGAAUGAGAGCACUUGCUUGGAAAUGGAUAUUCCUACAUCCUUUUCCAUUUUUCUUUUCAAAUCUACCACAGUAUCAUGCAAAUUUGCUCAGCACUUGUUUUUGUAGUGUGCUCAAAUACCAUAAUAAUGUUGAGCGAAAGUACGCUGAAACAAUAAUUGAUGAAUAAAUACUAUAGUUGAUUUGAUUCACUGAAAAUAAACUAAACCCAAAAGAAAAAUCGUUCUUACCCCUGUUGAUAAACAGUGCCAUGCAGCUCCUGGUUUGUCGAUACUUGUGCCACAGUUGUUUUUAAAGCAUCCUGAAAAAACCCAAUAAUAGUUGAAGAAUUGUAUCAGGAAACACAAAACAACACCUACUUACCUGAAAUUUGGUUGUAGUCGAGGUGGAAAGGGUACAGCAGCACAUGGAUGAACUCAGAGCAGGAAUUCUGAUCUGGAAUUGGCUGAGGCUGCAGCAAAUGUUACUUCUGCAGACAACUGAAAAUCCUGAUCCUGUAACUGCCUCAGAUGAGCUUUGAAAUGCUGUUCCCAUGGUGAAGCAACAAAUCAUCAAAUGGAUGGUGUGCAAGAACAGGCUUUAACGGGCCCAGAAGGUGAUAUGGACAUUGAUGCCAAAGAGGUUCAUGCAACGCCAGCGGGACGAUGUAAGCUUGCCUGAUAACAUGCCUUCUGCUGUUGAGGGAGAGAACGUUUCCGACAGUGUGCUUGCAUCUGAAAACCUGAAGGUAAAUGAUCCUGAUGUGUCUUAGGAUUGCCACAGAACGUGAUAGAAACUGAAGGCACUGCCCAAGCAGCGGGGGACGAUGGUUUUUCUAACGGGACUGCCACGUAGUGAACUCAGCCUGGUUUGGGUGAUGAAUCAAAAUGUUGGAUCGGAUAACCAGGUGCGAGCUGAUUACAGAUAUGAUAUAGUCAAUUGAAAACCAUAUCCCGAAUCGUUUUCUGGUUUUUUUACGGUGCAACUGUUAUCAGAUUGAGGAACUACAGUGGAACUUGGAAUCUCUUCAUUUUGAGAGUAUCUCUAGGGUCUCUUGGACAUGAACUUCUUACUGAGUCUGCUCCAUAAUAUACUGGCGCACCAUGUUAGAAAAAUUGAUUUUACCUUUUUUUAUUCUUUUCUUCCCACACUUGCUCUCAAUCUAAAGUUUACAAAGUCCAAUUUUCAAUUAAAUUCGUAGAUUGUGGUAGAUAAUCUCAAUCUUGUAUUGUAAUUAUCUCAUUAAUCACGCCAGCGAGGGAUAGAGACGUUUCAGUCUCUCAUUAUGUAAUUCACCAAUGCAACUGUCUAAUACAAUUUGGUUGUCAUUGCUUUAA